CCAGGGGAACUUCCCAACCCAGAGAUUGAACCCGGGUCUCCUGCAUUGCAGGUCCUUUAGCUAGAUGCACAAACUUCUUUAGAUGGCAGCUAUCAUCCUAGAAGACAAUGGGAACCUCAAGAUUUGAAUACCCAAGAAUCAGAAAUCCUAGAAUGUUAUUUUUGUCACAUUUUUUGGUCAAAGAGUCCAAAAGCCAGCCAGAUCAAGGGGAGUGAAAAACAGAAGAGAUAGCAGCAAAGUCACACUGCAAAAAGGACAGGAAUUGCUGUAAUAACUUUUGGAAAUAAUCUGUUGUCACAACCUUAUGUCCCGGUUUGAGAGUCCUGGGUUGUUCCUGUUGUUUUGAUAUAAUUAUUAUACAGCAUCUUUACUCUCCAAAAUAUACCUAUUUAGAUGGUCAUCUUGUAUCUGAGAUAUAUUUCUAUAAACAUGCAUUUACUUUAUAACACACAAAUGUAAUCAGGCAAUAUCAAACAUUUGAAAGAGGAUGGAUUUGAGGCUCCAUCAGAACUUGCUAGCUUGUGUGACUUUAGACAAGUCAAGAAAGCUUUCAGUCUAUACAUAUAUCACAGUUGUAGUAAACAUUGAUUAGAAAAUAGAACUAUAGCACUUAAAAGGAAGGCUGGCCUAUAACAGGAGUUGUCAAAUUACUUUAAUCUUAUAAAUCAUAGACAAUGAUAAAAGCAUGGAAGUAGCAAUAUAUAAAUGAAAACAACUGGAUAAAAAGAGUAUUUUUAUUAGUUUUAUGAAGCAAAUAUUUAGAUUAUCUUGUUUAAGCAUCAUUACGUAGCCCUUGUAUUCUAGUAGUAAACUGUAUAUGUAUGUGUAUUUGCAGGGCCUAGUUUUUCAUUCUAUU